rnacentral:rRNA from 1 species
GACGAACGCUGGCGGCGUGCUUAACACAUGCAAGUCGAGCGGAAAGGCCCUUCGGGGUACUCGAGCGGCGAACGGGUGAGUAACACGUGAGUAACCUGCCCCAGACUUUGGGAUAACCCUCGGAAACGGGGGCUAAUACCGGAUACGACACAGCUUCGCAUGGGGUCUGUGUGGAAAGUUUUUCGGUUUGGGAUGGGCUCGCGGCCUAUCAGCUUGUUGGUGGGGUGAUGGCCUACCAAGGCGACGACGGGUAGCCGGCCUGAGAGGGCGACCGGCCACACUGGGACUGAGACACGGCCCAGACUCCUACGGGAGGCAGCAGUGGAGAAUAUUGCACAAUGGGCGGAAGCCUGAUGCAGCGACGCCGCGUGAGGGAUGACGGCCUUCGGGUUGUAAACCUCUUUCAGCAGGGACGAAGCGUAAGUGACGGUACCUGCAGAAGAAGCGCCGGCCAACUACGUG